rnacentral:rRNA from 1 species
AACGAACGCUGGCGGCAUGCCUAACACAUGCAAGUCGAACGAGACCUUCGGGUCUAGUGGCGCACGGGUGCGUAACGCGUGGGAACCUGCCCUUAGGUUCGGAAUAACUCCCCGAAAGGGGUGCUAAUACCGGAUAAUGUCUUCGGACCAAAGAUUUAUCGCCUUUGGAUGGGCCCGCGUUGGAUUAGCUAGUUGGUAGGGUAAAAGCCUACCAAGGCGACGAUCCAUAGCUGGUCUGAGAGGAUGAUCAGCCACACUGGGACUGAGACACGGCCCAGACCCCUACGGGAGGGAGCAGGGGGGAAUAUUGAACAAUGGGCCAAAGCCUGAUCCAGCAAUGCCGCGUGAGUGAUGAAGGCCUUAGGGUUGUAAAGCUCUUUUACCCGGGAUGAUAAUGACAGUACCGGGAGAAUAAGCCGCGGCUAACUCCGU